AAAUUGAAGAGUUUGAUCAUGGCUCAGAUUGAACGCUGGCGGCAGGCCUAACACAUGCAAGUCGAACGGUAACAGGAAGCAGCUUGCUGCUUUGCUGACGAGUGGCGGACGGGUGAGUAAUGUCUGGGAAACUGCCUGAUGGAGGGGGAUAACUACUGGAAACGGUGGCUAAUACCGCAUAACGUCGCAAGACCAAAGAGGGGGACCUUCGGGCCUCUUGCCAUCAGAUGUGCCCAGAUGGGAUUAGCUUGUUGGUGAGGUAACGGCUCACCAAGGCGACGAUCCCUAGCUGGUCUGAGAGGAUGACCAGCCACACUGGAACUGAGACACGGCCCAGACUCCUACGGGAGGCAGCAGUGGGGAAUAUUGCACAAUGGGCGCAAGCCUGAUGCAGCCAUGCCGCGUGUAUGAAGAAGGCCUUCGGGUUGUAAAGUACUUUCAGCGGGGAGGAAGGUGUUGUGGUUAAUAACCGCAGCAAUUGACGUUACCCGCAGAAGAAGCACCGGCUAACUCCGUGCCAGCAGCCGCGGUAAUACGGAGGG
rnacentral:rRNA from 1 species